UACGUAGGGUGCGAGCGUUAAUCGGAAUUACUGGGCGUAAAGCGUGCGCAGGCGGUUCGUUGUGUCGGCGGUGAAAGCCCCGGGCUCAACCUGGGAAUGGCCGUUGAAACUGGCGAACUGGAGUGUGGCAGAGGGGGGUGGAAUUCCGCGUGUAGCAGUGAAAUGCGUAGAGAUGCGGAGGAACACCGAUGGCGAAGGCAGCCCCCUGGGCUGACACUGACGCUCAGGCACGAAAGUGUGGGGAUCAAACAGG
rnacentral:rRNA from 1 species